GUGAAUCAUCAAAUCUUUGAACGCAAAUUGCACUUUCUGGUAUUCUGGACAGUAUGCCUGUUUGAGGGUAAGUUAACUAAAAAUCGGUGAUGUUGCUGUUCUUCGUGGUGAAGAGAUGGCAUUGGGUUGUUUUAGGUUCGGUCAAGUGACUUAAAAUUUUUGGAUGUUUUUUGAACGUUUUUAUAUAUAUUACGUACGUUUGAGAUAUCGAAUGUCUAUUAGCUUUGCUCAUUCGCAUGUUUAGCGUCUCUAAUUUUC
rnacentral:misc_RNA from 1 species